AGCUCCAAUAGUGUAUAUUAAAGUUGUUGCAGUUAAAAAGCUCGUAGUUGGAUUUCUGGCGGGAGCGAUCGGUCCUUCACUCAGUGUUGGAACCUGAUUGUCUCCUGCCAUCCAUGGAGAAAACUUAUCUGGCAUUAAGUUGUCGGGUAGGCAAUCUCCAUCUUUUACUGUGAAAAAAUUAGAGUGUUCAAAGCAGGCUUAUGCCGUUGAAUAUAUUAGCAUGGAAUAAUAAGAUAGGACUAUGGUACUAUUUUGUUGGUUUGUGCACCAUGGUAAUGAUUAAUAGGGACAGUUGGGGGUAUUCGUAUUCCAUUGUCAGAGGUGAAAUUCUUGGAUUUAUGGAAGACGAACUACUGCGAAAGCAUUUACCAAGGAUGUUUUCAUUAAUCAAGAACGAAAG
rnacentral:rRNA from 1 species